AACGAACGCUGGCGGCAGGCUUAACACAUGCAAGUCGAACGCCCGUAGCAAUACGGGAGUGGCGGACGGGUGAGUAACGCGUGGGAACGUGCCCUGAGGUACGGAAUAACUGCGGGAAACUGCAGCUAAUCCCGGAUAAGCCCUUCGGGGGCAAGAUUUAUCGCCAUUGGAUGGGCCCGCGUCGGAUUAGCUAGUUGGUGAGGUAACGGCUCACCAAGGCGACGAUCCGUAGCUGGUCUGAGAGGAUGAUCAGCCACACUGGGACUGAGACACGGCCCAGACUCCUACGGGAGGCAGCAGUGGGGAAUAUUGGACAAUGGGCGCAAGCCUGAUCCAGCCAUGCCGCGUGAGUGACGAAGGCCUUAGGGUUGUAAAGCUCUUUUGGCGGGGAAGACAAUGACGGUACCCGCAGAAUAAGCUCCGGCUAACUUCGUGCCAGCCGCCGCAGUAAUAC
rnacentral:rRNA from 1 species